rnacentral:rRNA from 1 species
GAGGAAUAUUGGCCAAUGGGUUAGCGCCUGAUCCAGCCUUCCCGCGUGAAGGACGACGGCCCUAUGGGUUGUAAACUUCUUUUGUAUAGGGAUAAACCUACUCUCGUGAGAGUAGCUGAAGGUACUAUACGAAUAAGCACCGGCUAACUCCGUGCCAGCAGCCGCGGUAAUACGGAGGGUGCAAGCGUUAUCCGGAUUUAUUGGGUUUAAAGGGUCCGUAGGCUGAUUUGUAAGUCAGUGGUGAAAUCUCACAGCUUAACUGUGAAACUGCCAUUGAUACUGCAAGUCUUGAGUGUUGUUGAAGUAGCUGGAAUAAGUAGUGUAGCGGUGAAAUGCAUAGAUAUUACUUAGAACACCAAUUGCGAAGGCAGGUUACUAAGCAACAACUGACGCUGAUGGACGAAAGCGUGGGGAGCGAACAGGAUUAGAUACCCUGGUAGUCCACGCCGUAAACGAUGCUAACUCGUUUUUGGGUUUUGGGAUUCAGAGACUAAGCGAAAGUGAUAAGUUAGCCACCUGGGGAGUACGAACGCAAGUUUGAAACUCAAAGGAAUUGACGGGGGCCCGCACAAGCGGUGGAUUAUGUGGUUUAAUUCGAUGAUACGCGAGGAACCUUACCAAGGCUUAAAUGGGAAAUGACAGGUUUAGAAAUAGACUUUUCUUCGGACAUUUUUCAAGGUGCUGCAUGGUUGUCGUCAGCUCGUGCCGUGAGGUGUUAGGUUAAGUCCUGCAACGAGCGCAACCCCUGUCACUAGUUGCCAUCAUUAAGUUGGGGACUCUAGUGAGACUGCCUACGCAAGUAGAGAGGAAGGUGGGGAUGACGUCAAAUCAUCACGGCCCUUACGCCUUGGGCCACACACGUAAUACAAUGGCCGGUACAGAGGGCAGCUACACAGUGAUGUGAUGCAAAUCUCGAAAGCCGGUCUCAGUUCGGAUUGGAGUCUGCAACUCGACUCUAUGAAGCUGGAAUCGCUAGUAAUCGCGCAUCAGCCAUGGCGCGGUGAAUACGUUCCCGGGCCUUGUACACACCGCCCGUCAAGCCAUGGAAGUCUGGGGUACCUGAAGUCGGUGACCGUAAUA